rnacentral:sRNA from 1 species
UAACACAAACAAAGCGGAUGGUUUCCC